CCGAUAUCAACAUGUAGAAUACAUUGUCCCAGCUGGAACGUGAAAUCACACCUGCUAACAAAGGUCCAAGGGCAGCACCUGCAGAACAAAAAGAGAACAAUGCAAAGACUCAGCAAGAAAGCAGGCAAGAGAGGAGCAGCAGCCUGCUAACUGGAUCUCACACUUACAAGAGGAGGAAGGAUUCAUCCCAUUCAUGCUGAAGAAGGCCUCAUCCCCCACUACACUAUAGUAAAGAGUCACCCGGCAAUCCUAAGCACACAGCUGGAAGAUACUCACCAUGGGAGCAGCCAAAACCAACAUCGUACAGCAUGUGGUGGCCCUGCCGCCAGUGUAGUCGGAGAUGAGACCAGCUAAGAUGCCUCCUGCAUGACAAAACCACAUUUCAUUUUCCACAAUGUUUUAAAGUAAAUUGGUUAUUUAAUAGA